UUUCCACUUCACACCUCUAUAUUCCUGUGUGUGUGUCUUUAAUUCUUCUAGUGCCGCUGGGUUAGGGUCUCCCUGACCAAGCUGGUCUCGGCACAUUUAAAUAAACUUUAACGUUCUUUUUUUUCCCCUACAAAUGGUAGCAUAGUAUAUAGGUCAUGUUUAUUUCCCCUUUCUCUAUCACAACUUAAAAUUUUCUCUUAUUCUUUGUUCAAUGUAAUUUUUAUUGGAAUCUAAUUUACUAUUUAUAAUUUACCAGUGAAAAGUGCCAAUCUUCAGGACAUGUGGGAGACAUUUUGAGAAAUAGAUCUACCUGGGAAGCCCACAUCUGGAUCAAAAUAAGGAACAUUUCCAAUUUCCCUGGAAGUUCCUUUGUGCUUUCCCAGUAAUCCUUCCAGCCAUGGAGGUACUCUUGGUGCACAGGCUAUCUGACAUUCCUUACCCCUCCUAACCCCAGGGGCAGCCUGACGCCAUUUUGUGCUCUGGUAAGGGGAGACCAGGGCCACUGCACCUUUAGAGUUUAUGAACCAGCACCAGGACCGCAGUUAAUGACUCACCCCACCAGCUGAGUCUUCCAGAACACUGGGCUCUGGGCAGCUCCUAAUCCCCUCCAGAGCUCCAGAGCCUGUACACAAGAGGCGCUACCCCUGUUAACACCACUCGGGACUCUGGGGAACCUACCAAGACGGCAGAGGCACGCCCCAGAGACAGCAAAGCUUGCCGGGAAUAAAGCAAAGACCAGACUGCCUCCCUCCUGAGACGCCUCGGCACCGGCAACUGUGCUUCUCCAGCCCAGGCUGCCUCCUCCUUGGCGGCAACGCCGAAGGUCUCCAUGGCCAAGCCUAGAGCCACAGACCCUAUCCCCUCCCACCAGCCAACAGGAAACUAAAGCCGUGAAAAUACCAAGCUUUGUGGCCAGAAAAAAAAAAAUUCACCGGAAGUAAAAUUUAAAUUGAAGCCUAAGUCCGCUGGGCCAGCAGCAAGCAGCAAAGGCCUUGAUUUGCAGACACAUGCUCUGCCCCCAGCCACACUUCCUUCGUAUUUCCCAAGCCCAGGGUCUCCAAAGACAGAAGGAAGGGGCUUUGGGCUGAGUCUGUCCGUCACGAAGAGGCAGCCUUCUGGGAAAUCAAGGUUAAGGCAGAGGUGUCCUCAGGGGGUCCCCGGUGUGGGGCACUGAGGACUGUAAACAGGACCUACGUGAGACCGGGUGUCCCAGCCCCGAGGUUGUCUCUGCCUGAAGAACUGGCACUGCGGUGACUAGGAAGAUGGGAACAGCGGUCAGCCAGCAGCAAGACGAGACCCCGUCUCCCCUAGGAAUACCGGGGGUGGAGUGAGCCAGAAGGGGGCAUGCGAGGGGCUGCCUGCAGUUGGAGGGGGCCUCCGGAAGCCAUGCACAGCUUUGGGCUGCUUUUUCUCUGCCACUGGGUCAGCGCCAGGGCCUUCUUGGCCACGGGCCAACUCUUGGCCUCCCCUCUCAGAAGGAGCCUGUUUUAGGGUCAGCUCGGGCCAGGCUGCCUAGCCCAGGACUGGAGGUCAGGAGAGCUCCCAAGGAGCCCCAGACCUGCGGGACGAGACUGAAGGAUGCGUCCAGGGGAGGCCAGGGGGCCACUGCCUCCCAGAGCAAUACCGAGCCUGCUGCUCCUGGAGGCAGGCGGGUGGUCUGGAGCCAGGCCAGUUCCUCCUAGGCCUGGGUUCCUCCCAGUUCCUCCUGGGACAGGGUGAGGUCCGGGUAUGGCGGCCACCGCUAACCUCCCUCUCCGCCCACACCGCGGGCCCUGUCAGGACCCAGAAGGACCAGUGCAGACUGCAUUUGCUUUUCAGGCCAUAGAUCAUCAUCUUUGGGCCCAGUGACUAUGCGCGCUGUGGGCCCCGCAAGGCCUCUACGGGGUCGCUCGGGCCAGGCCUGGGCUGCAAUUCUUGGGAAACCAGUCCUUAAGGCUCCAAAGGCUCCUCCAGGCCCCACCUCUCCUUAGCGUCAGGCACGACGGUCCCAGAGGCUGGGCCUUCUGAGCCACAUGGUCCUAAGGCCUCCUCGGAAUCCAGCACCUUCUCAGAGCUUACGCCCGAAACCCGGCCCCCAGGGCACAUGGGGCUCGCCUUGACCACGGUUUCCCUGGCGACCCCAGGGGCACUUGG
rnacentral:lncRNA from 10 species